rnacentral:rRNA from 1 species
GACGAACGCUGGCGGCGUGCUUAACACAUGCAAGUCGAACGGAAAGGCCCUGCUUUUGUGGGGUGCUCGAGUGGCGAACGGGUGAGUAACACGUGAGUAACCUGCCCUUGACUUUGGGAUAACUUCAGGAAACUGGGGCUAAUACCGGAUAGGAGCUCCUGCUGCAUAGUGGGGGUUGGAAAGUUUCGGCGGUUGGGGAUGGACUCGCGGCUUAUCAGCUUGUUGGUGGGGUAGUGGCUUACCAAGGCUUUGACGGGUAGCCGGCCUGAGAGGGUGACCGGCCACAUUGGGACUGAGAUACGGCCCAGACUCCUACGGGAGGCAGCAGUGGGGAAUAUUGCACAAUGGGCGGAAGCCUGAUGCAGCAACGCCGCGUGCGGGAUGAAGGCCUUCGGGUUGUAAACCGCUUUCGCCUGUGACGAAGCGUGAGUGACGGUAAUGGGUAAAGAAGCACCGGCUAACUACGUG